CCGAUGUUACAUCUAUCAGAUCAUGACCCACUAAGGAGACUACACUAGACUCCAAGCAUUCGCUUCUACUCAACUCAUUUCUCGUUACCUGAAAAAUAGUUGUAAGGGUGAGUUCCUCAAUCGAUAUAAUAAGCAUUAUAAAAUAUAAUGUCAUGUUAAGUAAUUUAACACAUUAAUCACCCUAAUCGCAACAUACAAUCAGUAACAG
rnacentral:lncRNA from 1 species